rnacentral:rRNA from 1 species
UACGGGGGGGGCAAGCGUUGUUCGGAAUUACUGGGCGUAAAGGGCGCGUAGGCGGCCUUCUAAGUCAGACGUGAAAUCCCUCGGCUCAACCGAGGAACUGCGUCUGAUACUGGAAGGCUUGAAUCCGGGAGAGGGAUGUGGAAUUCCAGGUGUAGCGGUGAAAUGCGUAGAUACCAGGAGGAACACCGGUGGCGAAGGCGGUUUCCUGGCCGAGUACUGACGCUGAGGCACGAAAGCGUGGGGAGCGAACGGG